UUAAUCUCGUUAAUAGAGUAUGACGACACGUUAGUGCCACCAUUUACGAUUAGUUCAGAUCAAUUACUUUUUUUCCGUCAACAUUAAACUCCUUGCAGAGGAUAAUAUGAGCAAAAAAUGUUUUUGUGCCACCAUAAACAAGUUACGGCAACACGGGAAACACCCGCCAGAAGCAGGAAACCAAAAUUUUUGUUCGCUGGACGCAAAAUAGGUCGACUGUCCCUCUAGUAAAAGAAAGCCAGUCUUCCCACCUUGUUUUUUUGGGGUUGUGGUAAUGAUCCUUCCGCAGGUUCACCUACGGAAA
rnacentral:misc_RNA from 1 species